UACGGAGGAUGCAAGCGUUAUCCGGAAUGAUUGGGCGUAAAGCGUCCGCAGGUGGCAAUGUAAGUCUGCUGUCAAAGCGUCUGGCUCAACCAGAUAAAGGCAGUGGAAACUACAUGGCUAGAGUGCGUUCGGGGCAGAGGGAAUUCCUGGUGUAGCGGUGAAAUGCGUAGAGAUCAGGAAGAACACCGGUGGCGAAAGCGCUCUGCUAGGCCGCAACUGACACUGAGGGACGAAAGCUAGGGGAGCGAAUGGG
rnacentral:rRNA from 1 species